UCAGUUUCCGCAGCAGCAG
rnacentral:piRNA from 1 species